UUCACUAGGGUUGAAAUGAAGGAAAAAAUGCUAAGGGCAGCCACUGAGAAAGGGUGGGUUACCCACAAAGGGAAGCCCAUCAGACUCACAGUGGAUCUCUCAGCAGAAAUUCUA